GCCGCUGUAGCAUAAUGGUAGUGCGUUGCUUUCCUAUACGGUCUGCAGGCAAAGGUUGCGGGUUCGAUCCCCGUCAGUGGUU